CAAGGACCCACACAUGUUGGCCGGCGGGCCAGCCUGGCAUCUCUAGGUGGAGUAAAUGAAGGGGAAAGGGUGUAGGGACAGCCCUCAGUCAUGGCCAGAGUCUGCUCAACAUUCCUGUCUCCUCCCCAGACUUGACAUAAUGACAAUAACAAUACCGCUUGGAAGGCCGAGCACAGAGCCCCCUGAGAGUUCACAAAGUCCUUCCCUACCCAUUAUGGGAGGCUCUCCCCUCUACCGCUGCCUCAGGACCUUUGCACUACUUCUCCUCCCUGGAACACUCUUCCCCAAGGUAUUGACCGAGGAGGUCACGGCCAGUGGAAGAGGCAGGGCAGGGAGACCGGCCCUGCCCCUCUUCCUCUUCCUAGCCCAGGAGGAGCCCUUUCUACGUCAAUUCAGGGUCCUUACAACAAUCCUGGGAUGUGUACGUACUUACAGCUGCUCUCAUCUUAUUGAUGGGGAAACCGAGGAGCUAAGAAACUUGCCCAAGGUUGCAAGAACCCCGUGACUUGCCAGAGUCGACUUAGAAUUUGAGCCUGGACUUGGGCUCUUAACCACUGGGUUGUGGUUCCCUCAUCUCUGCCUCGAGCCCCUGGAACACUUGGUAAGAUGCUUCUAGACUCUUGGGGUAGGAGCUGGGAAUCCAUACUUUUCCCUCCUUUGUCCUUUAAGGCUAUGACCUUCGAAUCAAGAAAUGGCUGGUCUUGCUUGUAAACCCCUCUAGGGACGCCUGGGUGGCUCAGUGGUUGAGCAUCUGCCUUCGGCUCAGGGCGUGAUCCCACUGUCCCGGGGUCGAGUCCCACAUCAGGCUCCCUGCAUGGAGCCUGCUUCU